rnacentral:rRNA from 1 species
CCUACGGGAGGCAGCAGUGGGGAAUAUUGGACAAUGGGCGAAAGCCUGAUCCAGCCAUGCCGCGUGUGUGAAGAAGGCCUUCGGGUUGUAAAGCACUUUCAGUGGGGAAGAAAGCCUUGGGGCUAAUACCCUCGAGGAAGGACAUCACCCACAGAAGAAGCACCGGCUAACUCCGUGCCAGCAGCCGCGGUAAUACGGAGGGUGCGAGCGUUAAUCGGAAUUACUGGGCGUAAAGCGCGCGUAGGCGGUCUGAUAAGCCGGUUGUGAAAGCCCCGGGCUCAACCUGGGAACGGCAUCCGGAACUGUCAGGCUAGAGUGCAGGAGAGGAAGGUAGAAUUCCCGGUGUAGCGGUGAAAUGCGUAGAGAUCGGGAGGAAUACCAGUGGCGAAGGCGGCCUUCUGGACUGACACUGACGCUGAGGUGCGAAAGCGUGGGUAGCAAACAAGAUUAGAUACCCCUGUAGUC